UGAGAAACGGCUACCACAUCCAAGGAAGGCAGCAGGCGCGCAAAUUACCCACUCCCGGCACGGGGAGGUAGUGACGAAAAAUAACGAUACGGGACUCAUCUGAGGCUCCGUAAUCGGAAUGAGUACACUUUAAAUCCUUUAACGAGGAUCCAUUGGAGGGCAAGUCUAGUGCCAGCAGCCGCGGUAAUUCUAGCUCCAAUAGCGUAUAUUAAAGUUGUUGCGGUUAAAAAGCUCGUAGUUGAAUCUGUGUGCCACGCUGUUGGUUCACCGCUCGCGGUGUAACUGACUGGCCAGUGGUACGUCCUACCGGUGGACUUAGCCGUCGUUCGCGUCGGCGGUCCAAUUCAAUCCCGUCGCGGUGCUCUUCACCGAGUGCCGAGGUGGGCCGGUACGUUUACUUUGAACAAAUUAGAGUGCUCAAAGCAGGCUAUUUUCGCCUGAAUACUGUGUGCAUGGAAUAAUGGAAUAGGACCUCGGUUCUAUUUUGUUGGUUUUCGGAACACCGAGGUAAUGAUUAAUAGGGACAGAUGGGGGCAUUCGUANUGCGACGUUAGAGGUGAAAU
rnacentral:rRNA from 1 species